ensembl:lncRNA
AGGACCAGGAGCUGCUGUCCUUGCAUGACUCCACCCCUUUCCCCAUUAUCCUCUAUGCGCAACUUAAGGUAUAAAAACUACUUUGGAAAAUAAAGUGCGGGCCUUGUUCACCAAAACUUGGUCUCCCCAUGUCGCUCUCUCUCCCAAAUUCUGGCUGAGUCUCCAUCUGAAGCGAGGAACCCGCCAUGCUUACUAAUUAUGCCUGGGCUUCUAAGAUCCGACCGGGGAGGCCUCAGUGUCUCCUCUCCUUCGGGAGAACGGAAGGACGCCUGCGGCCUACACGGAAGCCCACCAGGCUCUCCUGCCCUUGGGAUUCUCCAGGCAAGAACACUGGAGUGGGUUGCCAUUUCCUUCUCCAAGGCAUGAAAGUGAAGAGUGAAAGUGAAGUCGCUCAGUUGUGUCCGACCCUCAGCGACCCCAUGGACUGCAGCCCACCAGGCUCCUCCAUCCAUGGGAUUUUCCAGGCAAGAGUGCUGGAGUGGGGUGCCAUUGCCUUCUCCAAUCAUUAAGUAUAAGCACAGAUGGUGAUUUUGGCGUUAUAGCUAAGAAUCCAUUGCUAAAUCUGAGGGUACAAGAGAUGAAUCUGUGCUCCUAGAAUUUCCUGGAACGCCAUUACCAACACGCUUGCCCAGGCUCCACUGACACAGCAGAGUCUGGAAGUGCAUCCAUGCUUGAGCGUUUCUUAGAAGUUCCCAGUUGGCUGUAACGUGCAGACAAGUUUGCAAAACCACCACAAUGGGACAUAGACGAGAUGUUCUUUUUAUACAGUUCAUCUUUUCCCUUUCCCUCAGAUACCAAAAAAAAAAAAGAGUUCAGCUAUUACUGAAAUUGAAAGACCACCAUCUUCCUGGGGAGCUGCAAAAGUAAAAGCGGAUACUGUGCAUAAUUGCUGUAGGAUGCAUGCUUAAAGAGAGUAUUUUGAGUUUCUUGACAAAGGACAUACAACGUUUUUGCGAGAUCUAGUAAGAAAUACCAAUCAUUACCAAACAUACUGUGUUCAUAAUUUUAACUCUGUUCUGUUGUACCAUAGAGAUGUUGGCUUUCAUUAUGUACCUGAAACAAAUAUUUUUAGAGGUCUUCUACUUGUCUUCUUCCUGUGUAAUCUUGGGUAUGGUGCUGAAUUCUGGGCUCCACAAUUCCUUAUGCAAAAAUUAAGAGCAGACACAAAAACCUACUUCAUGGGUCAAAUACAAGUUUAUUUAAAGAAAAUCUUCAUGGAUUUCUAUACUGUAUGGUGCAUUUU